rnacentral:rRNA from 1 species
CCUACGGGUGGCAGCAGUGAGGAAUAUUGGUCAAUGGCCGGGAGGCUGAACCAGCCAAGUCGCGUGAGGGAAGACGGCCCUACGGGUUGUAAACCUCUUUUGUCAGGGAGCAAGAUGCAGGUCGGGACCUGCUGUGAGAGUACCUGAAGAAAAAGCAUCGGCUAACUCCGUGCCAGCAGCCGCGGUAAUACGGAGGAUGCGAGCGUUAUCCGGAUUUAUUGGGUUUAAAGGGUGCGCAGGCGGAGGCACAAGUCAGCGGUAAAAUCGCGGGGCUCAACCCCGCUCCGCCGUUGAAACUGGGUGCCUUGAGUGCGCGAAGGGUAGGCGGAAUGCGUGGUGUAGCGGUGAAAUGCAUAGAUAUCACGCAGAACUCCGAUCGCGAAGGCAGCCUACCGGCGCGCAACUGACGCUCAUGCACGAAAGCGUGGGUAUCGAACAGGAUUAGAUACCCCAGUAGUC